rnacentral:tRNA from 1 species
GCAUCGGUCGCCUUUGGUUAAGGCAAGCAGUCUGUAAAACUGUGGCUCGUUUGCAGCUAUGAAAGUUCAAAUCUUUCCCGAUGCACCA